ensembl:lincRNA
GAUAAUCUGAAGGAGUGUCUCCUUAUCCCUCUUCCACCCUCUCCUCUUCCACCCUCAGUGGAUGAUAAUCUGAAGGAGUGUCUCCUUGCUCCUCUUCCACCCUCUCCUCUUCCACCCUCAGUGGAUGAUAAUCUGAACGAGUGUCUCCUUAUCCCUCUUCCACCCUCUCCUCUUCCACCCUCAGUGGAUGAUAAUCUGAAGGAGUGUCUCCUUGCUCCUCUUCCACCCUCUCCUCUUCCACCCUCAGUGGAUGAUAAUCUGAAGACUCCUCCCUUAGCUACUCAGGAGGCUGAGGCGGAAAAACCACCCAAACCCAAGAGGUGGAGGGUGGAUGAGGUGGAACAAUCACCGAAGCCCAAGAGGCGGAGGGCGGAUGAGGUGGAACAAUCGCCCAAGCCCAAGAGGCAGAGGGAGGCCGAGGCACAAUUACCCAAACCCAAGAGUUGGAGGGUGGAUGAGGUGGAACAAUCACCGAAGCCCAAGAGGCGGAGGGCGGAUGAGGUGGAACAAUCGCCCAAGCCCAAGAGGCAGAGGGAGGCCGAGGCACAAUUACCCAAACCCAAGAGGCGGAGGUUGAGUAAGCUGAGAACACGCCAUUGCACUCAAGCCUGGGCAAUAAGAAUAAAUCCGUGGGUCAAAAAAAGAAAAAAUCAAAAAAUAAAACAAAACGCACACUCCAACACUCCAAAAACAAACUAACAAAGAAUAAAUAAAUAAUAUAAAAAUAAAAUAAAUACUGCAGUCCUUAUGUUAUUGCUUUGUUUCAGUAUCUGGUAUGAUUGCCUGAGGGACCUGAGGUUUUUAAUUAAUUGUGGGGGUUUUUUUUAAUCUUUAGAAGUGGUUGGUUAUGUAAAAUAUUAUUAUUAUUAUUAUUAUUUUUUUGAGACUGGGUUUUGCUCUGUCACCCAGGCAGGAGUGCAGUGGCUCGAUCACAGCUCACUGCAGCCUCAACCUCCUGGGCUUCAAGCAAUCCUCCUGCCUCAGCCUCCCAAGUAGCUGGGAUCACAGAUGUGUGCCACCACACCUGGCCAAUGUUAAAAAAUCCUUUAACUUUUUUGUAGAGAUGCACUCCUGGACUCAAGCGAUCCUCCUACUGGUCCCGACCACCAGCCUCUUUCUGAUAAACAUUUACACUGUUUAUUAUCUGAUGCCAUUUCUAUCUUCUUCCUUGUCAUCCAGACAUCAAAGAAUUAGGUUUCUUCAGGGUUUUCUUUUUCAAGUCCUCAUUGUUAAAGAUCACUCACAUUAGGGCCAGACACCAUGACUCAUGCCUGUAAUCCCAGCACUUUGGGAGGCCAAGGCGGGCAGAGCACUUGAGGUGGGGAGUUUGAGACCAGCCCGGCCAACUUGGUGAAACCCCACCCCUACUGAAAAACAUACAAAAAUUAGCUGGGCGUGAUGGUGCAUGCCUGUAGUCCCAGCCACUUGGGAGGCUGAGGCAUGAGAAUCGCUUGAACCCAGGAGGCAGAGGUUGUAGUGAGCCAAGAUCACAUCAGCACACUCUAGCCUGGGUGACAGAGCGAGACUCUGACUCAAAAAAUAAUAAAA